rnacentral:rRNA from 1 species
UGGGGAAUAUUGCACAAUGGGGGAAACCCUGAUGCAGCGACGCCGCGUGAACGAAGAAGGUAUUCGUAUCGUAAAGUUCUGUCCUAUGGGAAGAUAAUGUCAGUACCAUAGAAGAAAGCUCCGGCUAAAUACGUGCCAGCAGCCGCGGUAAUACGUAUGGAGCGAGCGUUGUCCGGAAUUAUUGGGCGUAAAGGGUACGCAGGCGGUUUAAUAAGUCGAAUGUUAAAGAUCGGGGCUCAACCCCGCAAAGCAUUGGAAACUGAUAAACUUGAGUAGUGGAGAGGAAAGUGGAAUUCCUAGUGUAGUGGUGAAAUACGUAGAUAUUAGGAGGAAUACCAGUAGCGAAGGCGACUUUCUGGACACAAACUGACGCUGAGGUACGAAAGCGUGGGGAGCAAACAGG